rnacentral:lncRNA from 1 species
ACCUGAUUUUUGUUUUUGCAUCACUGCUUCAUCUCCAAGUUGGUAGCAUUUGGAACAUUUGGCGUCAGGUCUUCUCCAACAUUUGAAUGGUGAAUGGCCUUUCUUUCCACAGUGUUCUUUGAGUCUCUUCCUUUGCCCUUUUGGUAAUUGCUGAAUCAAUUCUCUCUAUUUGCUAGCUAGUUCUUCAAGUUCUUCUUCUUUUUAUUCCUGCUAUUAUCUUGAUGCUUGGCAGGUAAGGCACCUU